rnacentral:rRNA from 1 species
GACGAACGCUGGCGGCGUGCUUAACACAUGCAAGUCGAACGGUGAAGCCCUUCGGGGUGGAUCAGUGGCGAACGGGUGAGUAACACGUGAGCAACCUGCCCCUGACUCUGGGAUAACUACCGGAAACGGUGGCUAAUACCGGAUACGACCUUCCUGCGCAUGUGGGUUGGUGGAAAGUUUUUCGGUUGGGGAUGGGCUCGCGGCCUAUCAGCUUGUUGGUGGGGUGAUGGCCUACCAAGGCGACGACGGGUAGCCGGCCUGAGAGGGCGACCGGCAACACUGGGGCUGAGACACGGCCCAGACUCCUACGGGAGGCAGCAGUGGGGAAUAUUGCGCAAUGGGCGGAAGCCUGACGCAGCGACGCCGCGUGGGGGAUGAAGGCCUUCGGGUUGUAAACCUCUUUCAGCAGGGAAGAAGCGUGAGUGACGGUACCUGCAGAAGAAGCACCGGCUAACUACGUGCCAGCCGCCGUAAAAC